rnacentral:rRNA from 1 species
ACAGCAGUCGCCGCGGUAAAACGGAGGGGGCUAGCGUUGUUCGGAAUUACUGGGCGUAAAGCGCACGUAGGCGGCUUGGUAAGUUAGAGGUGAAAGCCCGGAGCUCAACUCCGGAAUUGCCUUUAAGACUGCCGAGCUAGUAGGUGAGAGAGGUAAGUGGAAUUCCGAGUGUAGAGGUGAAAUUCGUAGAUAUUCGGAAGAACACCAGUGGCGAAGGCGGCUCACUGGACGCGUAUUGACGCUGAGGUGCGAAAGCGUGGGGAGCAAACAGGAUUAGAUACCCCGGUAGUCCCUGUCUCUUAUAC